CUGGAUAUAGCUCAGUGGGUAGAGCAAUCGACUUUAACUCGAUCUGUCGGAGGUUCGACUCCUCCUAUCCCUA
rnacentral:tRNA from 1 species